GGGCACGGGGCACCACGCGGAAAGCCCCACCCGCUCCGGAGGACGGCCAAUGGGCGCGGAGCGCGGGAAGCUGGGGGCGGAGCCGGAGCGGCCAGGCGGCCCCGCGACGCAGCGGGCUCAGAGGUCCUCGCCCACCGUGGAGAGCUGUACGGGCUUAAGAGUCACCUGCCUUGGAAACGUGUGUGUCAGACUUCGUCUGCUGUUUGCAGAACACUAGCCACACUGUUUGGGGAAGCGCGGAAUGAGUAACAGCCUCUGCUUUCAAGGAUAUCCCAAUCAGUCAGGCGGAGGAGCAGAUGGGUAAACAGAAACUGAAGAAGAGGCUGAAUAUGAGGCAGUUGGAAUAGUGAAAAGACAGCAGCCAUUGAUACAUGGACUCACGGCCAGAGAAGACAAGAAAAUGAGCCCCUCAGAAAUUAUCGACUAAAACAGAAUGAAUGGAUCCUGGCUAAGCCCCUGCCAUGGCAAAAUCCAGUGGAAUUGAUGUUCAGAAAGGGCUCUUGAUGAUUUGCUGUGUGAAGUGGAUUAAUACUGUCGGGCCAGCUCUAAGAAUAUCACACACAAUCACAGAGUCUGGACUUCUUGACUCCAAAUUCUCUUCCCUGCAUAAAGGAGGCUGCACUGUUACUGCUUUAGCUCAGUGCUUCAGUCAUGCCUUCCAUGAGACCCUGACCAAAAAAGAUAAAAUCUAAAUGUACAGUGGAGGAAAGAAAGUGAUACGUCCAGCAACUAUUUCUCAGAGAGCUGUCACUUAACUGCUUAUGUGCGUAAAUGGAGCAAGCUGCCAUGUUAGAGAGUCCCAUGUGGCAAAGAACUGAGAGAGGCCUCCAGCCAACAGCCAGAGAGGAACUGAAUCCUGCCAGCAAGCAUGUAAGUCAGCCUGGAAUCAAAUCCUUUCCCAGUAGAGACUGGCGAUGACCACAGCCCUAUCUGAUCCUUGACUGCAGCCUGUGUAGCAGCAGACCCGGCUAAGCCAGCCUGGACUCCUGACCUUACAGAAACUAAGAGAUAAUAAGUAUUGUUGAAAAACACUAAAUUUGGGGGCUAAUUUGUCACAUAGCAACCGAUAACUAGUACAAUGGGAUAACAAUUCCUUCCAGAAUUACAGUGAGAAUCAGAACAUAUAUGAGGAUUAGAAUAAUGACAGUAAUGGUAAUGACAAUGACAACAGGGGAUCCUAGCUAAGCUUAAAUUAAGAUUCAGAACCUGGCAGAAAUGCUACUAUUGUGAAGAAGUUAUAUUUAGUGCUUGAACCCCCUGAGGAGUACAAGAAAGAUGAAAGUACAAAAAACAAGGUAUCACAUUUCUCAAUCAGGCCCAGACUAUGUCUGACUCUGAUAGAAGGGGACUUGUUGAGCAAAGCUAAAGUAGCAGGUUUGUGAGAGUUAGUGAACAAGAAAAGGUGUGUGGGGGCCCAGGUGACAAAGUUUCACCAAGAACUGGGAAGAGGGUUACUCUCCCACUUCUGCUUAGAUUGGAGCAUGGCUACAACUAUAAAGUGAAGCCAAGAGAUAGUGCAGUUGUUCAACUCAAGAGUUCCUGCCUUGGGAGUAUGGAGCGUAGGACCCUCGAUGGGGAGGAAGGGUUCUCAUGGGGGAUAUUGGCCACCAUGAAGGAGACAAGGCCCUCCUGCUUCUCCUGAGAUUGGCACAUAGCUAUUUCUAUGUUUGUGGUUGAUAAACAGUAAAAAAGACUAUGAGAAGGGAAGUUGAGUACCUAUGUCUCUGUAAGCCGGUACAGUUGGGGUAUAGGUGCCUUUAAGGAUAUGCAGAGUUCUGACAGGCAAAGAAAGGAAAAUAGACAUUCCGAACUGAGGGAACAGCACAAGUAAAGAUUCAGAGCGGUGAACAUAAAUCAUUUCCUUAGGGAAAAGUAAGUUGUCCUGUGUGAUCAGAGAAAGGAGUAAAAACUAGUUAACAUCUCCUAUUCUGAUUCUUUUUUUAAACAUUUAUUUAUUGUUUAAUUUACAUCCAAGUUAGUUAGCAUAUAGUGCGACAAUGAUUUCAAGGGUAGAUUCCUUAAUGCCCCUUACCCAUUUAGCCCACC